rnacentral:tRNA from 1 species
GGAGAGAUGGCUGAGUGGUCGAAAGCAACGGUUUGCUAAAUCGUCGAACCCCAAAAGGGUUCCGAGGGUUCGAAUCCCUCUCUCUCCGCCA